rnacentral:rRNA from 2 species
UGGGGAAUAUUGCACAAUGGAGGAAACUCUGAUGCAGCGACGCCGCGUGAGUGAGGAAGUAUUUCGGUAUGUAAAGCUCUAUCAGCAGGGAAGAAAAAAAUGACGGUACCUGACUAAGAAGCCCCGGCUAACUACGUGCCAGCAGCCGCGGUAAUACGUAGGGGGCAAGCGUUAUCCGGAUUUACUGGGUGUAAAGGGAGCGCAGGCGGAAGGCUAAGUCUGAUGUGAAAACCCGGGGCUCAACUCCGGGACUGCAUUGGAAACUGGUCAUCUUGAGUGUCGGAGAGGCAAGUGGAAUUCCUAGUGUAGCGGUGAAAUGCGUAGAUAUUAGGAGGAACACCAGUGGCGAAGGCGGCUUGCUGGACGACAACUGACGCUGAGGCUCGAAAGCGUGGGGAGCAAACAGG